rnacentral:lncRNA from 1 species
AGGUUGGACUAGAUGAUCUCCAGAGGUCCCUUCCAACCUAAACGAUUCUGUGAUUCUGUGAUCAUCUGGGAUUUUUGCCCUGACAGACUUCUUGCUCUGGCAUGGUCCUAGGAUACUGCUAGUGCUUUUGUUCUCUCCUGCUAUCUUUCUGUGGUCCUCUAAGUUGGUUGUUUUGUGUUUUGUUUUUGCAUUGAAGAUCUUAAGUUUGUCAUGGGUUAAUAACGAGACAAAGAAAGGGUGUCGAUCUUUCCAUUCUAUAGUUGCCUGUGACUGCCAAAGACUGGAUUUAAUGACUCAACAGGCUUCUUCCUGUUGCAUUACUGAUGCUAGUUGUUCAGGACAGGCUUACGGGGGAAUCUGGAAUAUUGCCCUGGCAAUGCUUUACUUGCAUUUAGAUCUGGCUUGGAAAUAGGACUUUUGUAAUGAGCUCUGGAAGUUGAGAGUUACCCCAGAGAAACGAGGUGAGGGGAGUAUUCUACCGUUUGAAGUCUGCAGCCUUCAUUUAUUUAAAGCACUUUGAAUUUGAAUCCAGUACUCUUCUGAAUUUUAAUUUUUGAAGUAAGGAUUGAUCAUACUUCAUGCAGCAAUGGAGUCCCUCUGCUGCAUAUCAUAGAUCUAAACCUGACACAGACCUUUGGAUAUAAUCAAAUAAUAGUUCAAAAAACAGCAGGAAAGCCUUUUGGCAGUCAGCGCAAUUUUGCAGACCAAGUCACCUCCUUAUUCAGUGUACCUGCUUGCUGCAUGAUUUGGCUGAACUUGUUGUGGGACAGCUCCUUCAUGUCUGCUUUUCUUCUGGGGUUUUUGCAGAACUCUACACAGCUGUUACUUCUUAACUCCACCUCCUUGUGGCUGCUAAUCUUCAUGUCACGUCUGUUCCAUCUAGUAGGAUUAUGCAGUCGCUCAAACAAUGGAAGUCUAGAAGCUGUGUGCUGGUGGUCAUUGUCCCCACAGCAGUCCCUGGAGUGAGAUAUGACUUUUCUCUUCAUCUUUGUCGGCAUGGAAGCCGCUAACUCUGAGGUGACUGAGCAUGGUGCGGGACUCCAAACAUGGCGAGUGAGGAGCAUCACACAUGCGGUUCCACAAGCUCCAGCAGUUAUUUGGUGCACAUUCACUUACAAAACCUGAUGUCUGCAUGUACGUUUAUCCUGUACCCAGCACAAUGGGAUGCUGAGUUUAGGACUUUUGAGUGCUGCAACAAUGCAAAUAUUAAAUAAAAAUUCAUGACAAGAAAGAACA